rnacentral:rRNA from 1 species
AGUAGUUUGAUCAUGGCUCAGGAUGAACGCUGGCGGCAUGCCUAAUACAUGCAAGUCGAACGGAAUCUUAUAUGUUCCUCGUUUCGGAUUUAGUUCCGAGUUGGGGAACAAUAAGAUUUAGUGGCGGACGGGUGAGUAACACGUUGGUACCUACCCUCUAGUGGGGAAUAACUUCGAGAAAUCGAGGCUAAUACCGCAUAAUAUCUACGGAUUAAAGCAUUUAUGCGCUAGAGGAGGGGCCUGCGUCUGAUUAGCUUGUUGGUGAGGUAAAAAGCUCACCAAGGCGACGAUCAGUAGCUGGAUCGAGAGGUUGACCAGCCACACUGGGACUGAGAUACGGCCCAGACUCCUACGGGAGGCAGCAGUAAGGAAUCUUCCACAAUGGGCGAAAGCCUGAUGGAGCAAUGCCGCGUGCAGGAUGACGGCCUUCGGGUUGUAAACUGCUUUUAUAUGGGAAGAUUAUGACGGUACCAUAUGAAUAAGGACCGGCUAACUACGUG